GGUUUCGGUGCCCUCGGGUCGCUUAGCCUCUUUUUAUAAGAGGCUUUGUGUAAUCCGAGGUAAGGAUCACCCCUUUUUUUUAAAGAGGGUGGUUUGUGCCGACCAUCUCUUCCGGAAAGGCCGGUCUACCCUUUACUGGGUUUUUGGGCUGGUUCAAUCAAAUUUCCGGAUCUUUUACUGUGAAAAAAUUAGAGUGUUUAAAGCAGGCAUUUUUAGCAUUUGAAUAUAUUAGCAUGGAAUAAUAAGAUAGGACUUCGGUUCUAUUUUGUUGGUUUAUAGGACUGGAGUA
rnacentral:rRNA from 1 species